rnacentral:rRNA from 1 species
UUAAGCGACUAAGCGUACACGGUGGAUGCCCUGGCAGUCAGAGGCGAUGAAGGACGUGCUAAUCUGCGAUAAGCGUCGGUAAGGUGAUAUGAACCGUUAUAACCGGCGAUUUCCGAAUGGGGAAACCCAGUGUGAUUCGUCACACUAUCAUUAACUGAAUCCAUAGGUUAAUGAGGCGAACCGGGGGAACUGAAACAUCUAAGUACCCCGAGGAAAAGAAAUCAACCGAGAUUCCCCCAGUAGCGGCGAGCGAACGGGGAGGAGCCCAGAGCCUGAAUCAGUGUGUGUGUUAGUGGAAGCGUCUGGAAAGGCGCGCGAUACAGGGUGACAGCCCCGUACACAAAAAUGCACAUGCUGUGAGCUCGAUGAGUAGGGCGGGACACGUGGUAUCCUGUCUGAAUAUGGGGGGACCAUCCUCCAAGGCUAAAUACUCCUGACUGACCGAUAGUGAACCAGUACCGUGAGGGAAAGGCGAAAAGAACCCCGGCGAGGGGAGUGAAAAAGAACCUGAAACCGUGUACGUACAAGCAGUGGGAGCACGCUUCGGCGUGUGACUGCGUACCUUUUGUAUAAUGGGUCAGCGACUUAUAUUCUGUAGCAAGGUUAACCGAAUAGGGGAGCCGAAGGGAAACCGAGUCUUAACUGGGCGUUAAGUUGCAGGGUAUAGACCCGAAACCCGGUGAUCUAGCCAUGGGCAGGUUGAAGGUUGGGUAACACUAACUGGAGGACCGAACCGACUAAUGUUGAAAAAUUAGCGGAUGACUUGUGGCUGGGGGUGAAAGGCCAAUCAAACCGGGAGAUAGCUGGUUCUCCCCGAAAGCUAUUUAGGUAGCGCCUCGUGAAUUCAUCUCCGGGGGUAGAGCACUGUUUCGGCAAGGGGGUCAUCCCGACUUACCAACCCGAUGCAAACUGCGAAUACCGGAGAAUGUUAUCACGGGAGACACACGGCGGGUGCUAACGUCCGUCGUGAAGAGGGAAACAACCCAGACCGCCAGCUAAGGUCCCAAAGUCAUGGUUAAGUGGGAAACGAUGUGGGAAGGCCCAGACAGCCAGGAUGUUGGCUUAGAAGCAGCCAUCAUUUAAAGAAAGCGUAAUAGCUCACUGGUCGAGUCGGCCUGCGCGGAAGAUGUAACGGGGCUAAACCAUGCACCGAAGCUGCGGCAGCGACACUAUGUGUUGUUGGGUAGGGGAGCGUUCUGUAAGCCUGCGAAGGUGUACUGUGAGGUAUGCUGGAGGUAUCAGAAGUGCGAAUGCUGACAUAAGUAACGAUAAAGCGGGUGAAAAGCCCGCUCGCCGGAAGACCAAGGGUUCCUGUCCAACGUUAAUCGGGGCAGGGUGAGUCGACCCCUAAGGCGAGGCCGAAAGGCGUAGUCGAUGGGAAACAGGUUAAUAUUCCUGUACUUGGUGUUACUGCGAAGGGGGGACGGAGAAGGCUAUGUUGGCCGGGCGACGGUUGUCCCGGUUUAAGCGUGUAGGCUGGUUUUCCAGGCAAAUCCGGAAAAUCAAGGCUGAGGCGUGAUGACGAGGCACUACGGUGCUGAAGCAACAAAUGCCCUGCUUCCAGGAAAAGCCUCUAAGCAUCAGGUAACAUCAAAUCGUACCCCAAACCGACACAGGUGGUCAGGUAGAGAAUACCAAGGCGCUUGAGAGAACUCGGGUGAAGGAACUAGGCAAAAUGGUGCCGUAACUUCGGGAGAAGGCACGCUGAUAUGUAGGUGAAGCGACUUGCUCGUGGAGCUGAAAUCAGUCGAAGAUACCAGCUGGCUGCAACUGUUUAUUAAAAACACAGCACUGUGCAAACACGAAAGUGGACGUAUACGGUGUGACGCCUGCCCGGUGCCGGAAGGUUAAUUGAUGGGGUUAGCGGUAACGCGAAGCUCUUGAUCGAAGCCCCGGUAAACGGCGGCCGUAACUAUAACGGUCCUAAGGUAGCGAAAUUCCUUGUCGGGUAAGUUCCGACCUGCACGAAUGGCGUAAUGAUGGCCAGGCUGUCUCCACCCGAGACUCAGUGAAAUUGAACUCGCUGUGAAGAUGCAGUGUACCCGCGGCAAGACGGAAAGACCCCGUGAACCUUUACUAUAGCUUGACACUGAACAUUGAGCCUUGAUGUGUAGGAUAGGUGGGAGGCUUUGAAGUGUGGACGCCAGUCUGCAUGGAGCCGACCUUGAAAUACCACCCUUUAAUGUUUGAUGUUCUAACGUUGGCCCGUAAUCCGGGUUGCGGACAGUGUCUGGUGGGUAGUUUGACUGGGGCGGUCUCCUCCUAAAGAGUAACGGAGGAGCACGAAGGUUGGCUAAUCCUGGUCGGACAUCAGGAGGUUAGUGCAAUGGCAUAAGCCAGCUUGACUGCGAGCGUGACGGCGCGAGCAGGUGCGAAAGCAGGUCAUAGUGAUCCGGUGGUUCUGAAUGGAAGGGCCAUCGCUCAACGGAUAAAAGGUACUCCGGGGAUAACAGGCUGAUACCGCCCAAGAGUUCAUAUCGACGGCGGUGUUUGGCACCUCGAUGUCGGCUCAUCACAUCCUGGGGCUGAAGUAGGUCCCAAGGGUAUGGCUGUUCGCCAUUUAAAGUGGUACGCGAGCUGGGUUUAGAACGUCGUGAGACAGUUCGGUCCCUAUCUGCCGUGGGCGCUGGAGAACUGAGGGGGGCUGCUCCUAGUACGAGAGGACCGGAGUGGACGCAUCACUGGUGUUCGGGUUGUCAUGCCAAUGGCACUGCCCGGUAGCUAAAUGCGGAAGAGAUAAGUGCUGAAAGCAUCUAAGCACGAAACUUGCCCCGAGAUGAGUUCUCCCUGACUCCUUGAGAGUCCUGAAGGAACGUUGAAGACGACGACGUUGAUAGGCCGGGUGUGUAAGCGCAGCGAUGCGUUGAGCUAACCGGUACUAAUGAACCGUGAGGCUUAACCU